CGUUUGAUUCAAAAUGCUGUAUUAUUUGUAGACUAUUGAGUGCUAUUUAAGAGCUGUACUUAAUAUGAAGGGUGCAAAUCUCUACCAGCAAAACCAUUACACCACAGGUGUCAUUUUAAAUAGCACAAGGGAGCAGAUGGCAUGGCAAAGAUUGCGAAAAGUGAGAGCAGCUCCUUAUGAUUCUUAAUUUUUACAUGUACAGUACACAGACAUGAUUAUGCAUAUUUCUGAUAAACAGGUCAACUUUGAGCAAUAUGAUGGGCUCAUCACUUUCGUAAAUAUCAACAACAUACACUAGAGGUUUGCGGUAAGUAAAAAGACUGCAAAUACAAAUGUUAAGCUAGUACAUGUAAACAUGGACAUGCCCAUAUAGAAAUGUUUGAUCUUUUCAGCGACAUUUGAUUGACUUAGUAGUUAUAAUUUAUUUGUUUCCUUUUCUCCAUUUUAGUGACUACAUGCUUACACUGACACCAUUUUUAAUACUUGACCCUCAAAGUGGUACAAAUUAAAUGAAAGAAGCCAAAAAAGCCUGCAAAUACCUUUGGUAGGACAGUUUGUUUUAAAAAAGAAUUUUUCCAAAUGAGAAAAAACAAGUAUGGAAGAGAGGACUUGGUGAGUACCAAGUGGAAACCUGGCACAAUCCAACAUUCAUUUCAGGAGGAUGGUUCCAGCUGUGGUGUCUUUGUGAUGCUGAUGGCGAAACCGGUGGUGGAAGAGUUCCCAAAAAUUCCUGACAGCAUUAAUAUAAGGAGAUGAUGUGCCACUACAGGAAAAAUGUGGCUAAUGAAAUUUUGC